CUCUUACCUAUCAGGAAAUUAAAAUUUUAAGGGCUAAUUCCCCUUCAUUCAAGAAAUAUUUACUGUGAUGAAGACAUGUUCCAUGCAGAGGAAAUGGCCAAUGCAAAGAGCCCCUGACUGGAGGGCAUUUGGCACAUUCUAGGAGAGUGAGGAGGAUUCUAUGGGCCAGGAAUUCAGACAGGGCACAGUGUUGAUGGCUUGUCUGUGUCCCGGCUGGGAUGGCUCAAAUGGUUGUGGGACUAUUUGACUUGAAAGGCUGGAGCCUGGAAUCAUUUGAAACAUUGUUCACUCAUGUGUCUGGCACCUGCGUUAGAAUGACUGAAGGCUACAUCAACUAGAGUACUUACAUCCGGUCUCUCCAUGUGACUUGGACUUUUCACAGCGUGGAGGCUGGAUUUCAAAGGUCAACUGAGAAUGGCAGAGGACUCAUCCCACCUUUGCCACAUGGUGACUUUCCCCACUCCCCCAGGUAACCUUGCUCGUGCAUGUGGAUAUUUGCUCAGAUUAAGAAUGUU
rnacentral:lncRNA from 1 species